rnacentral:rRNA from 1 species
UUUUAUAUCUUGUUGGUUUAAAAAGUUUUAUAUAUUACUAUAUGAAAAAGAUUUUUAAAAAAAAUAUUUAAAGUAAUUAUAAAUGAAAUAUUUAUGAAACUAGAGUAAAAAGUACUGUAAAGGAAAGAAUAAACAAAAAAUAAAUAAAGUAAAGAUAAAGCUUUGUACCUUGUGUAUCAGGGAGAGUUCACAUCUGAUUAAAAAGUUAAUAAUCUCGAAACAAAAAUAGCUAAUUUUAUAAUAAAGUUUUUGUGGGAUACAAAUUUUUAAUAUAGAAUUAAAGAUGAAAUGUUAGACGAGUUUUGUUAUAUCUAGUUUUCUAAAAUAUAAAUAUAAUUUAGGUUUUAUAGGGAAAAAUAUAUAAAAAUAAAGAAUAGGAGGGAAUAGCUUCUUAUUAAUAGAUUUAAUAAUUAAGUAAUAUGAAAAAAUUAAACUAAACUUGAAAGUAGUUAUGUUAAUAAAGUGUUUUAACUAAGAUUUAUGGCAAUUUAUUUAAAAUUUUAAAAAAUAUUAGAAGAUUUGUUUAGAACAAAAAUAAAAAAGAAAAAAUGAUUCUAUUAGUAGAGGAGAUAAAAAAAAAUAAAAAUAAAAUAAUAGGGGAAUUAUUUUCAAAGAAAGGUAAUUGUAGAGGAAUUCAGCAAUAUUUUUCUUUGCCUGUUUAUCAAAAACAUGUCUGUCUGGGGUUAUGGAAAGUCUAACCUGCCCACUGAAAUAUUAAAGGGCCGCGGUAUUAUGACCGUGCAAAGGUAGCAUAAUCAUUAGGUUUUUAAAUGGGAUCUUGAAUGAAUGGUUGGACAAAAGAAAAACUGUCUUUAUAUUAACGGCGAAUUUAACUUUUAAGUGAGAAGGCUUAAAUGAACUAGAGGGACGAUAAGACCCUAUAAAACUUUACAUUUUGGCUAAAUUUUAAAGAAUUUAAUAAAUAAAGUUUUAUUUAGUUAUUUUGUUUUGUUGGGGCGACACAAGUAAAAUUUUAGUUAACUGCUUGAACACAAAACAAUUAUAAUUGAAACAAGAUAUGAUCCUUAAUAAUGAUUAAAAGAUUAAGUUACUUUAGGGAUAACAGUGUAAUUUUUUUUGAGAGUCCAUAUCGAAAAGAGAGUUUGCAACCUCGAUGUUGAAUUAAGAUAUCUAUAUAACGCAGCUGUUAUACAAGAAGGUCUGUUCGACCUUUAAAAUUUU